UUAGACCAUAAAAAUGCUAAAGAAGCUUUAAUGAAAUUCAAAGAAACAUCAAAGGAAUUACAAAGAAGCAAUAAGAAAUCUUAAAGAAAUAUUAGAAUGAUUACAAAUAUAUCUCAAAUACAUCUCAAUUCAAUCUGAAUUUAAUCCUAGUUAAAGUCCUAUUGGACUUCAUUCAAAAUUUAAGCCAAAAAAUAAAAAAAAAAUAAAUUCUAAAUAAAUCCUAAUAAAAUCUUAAAUUUUAAAUCAACUCCUCAUCAAAUCCUAAAUCCUUAAUCAAAUCCUAAUCAAAUCCUAAUCAAAUCUUAAAUCCUAAAUCAAAAUCCUAACCAAAUCUCAAAUCCUAAAUCAAACCUUAACCAAAUUUUAAAUCCUAAA
rnacentral:lncRNA from 1 species